GACGAACGCUGGCGGCGUGCUUAACACAUGCAAGUCGAGCGGUAAGGCCCUUUCGGGGGUACGACGAGCGGCGAACGGGUAGGAGUAACAACGUGGGUGGACCUCGCCCUCCAGCUCUGGGAGUAAGCCUCGGGAAACCGGGGUACGUAAUACCGGAUAUGACUCCAUGACGCAUGUUGUGGGGUGGAAAGCCUUGUGCGGCUGAGGAUGGGCCCGGCGGCCUAUCAGCUUGUUGGUGGGGUGGAUGGCCUACCAAGGCGACGACGGGUA
rnacentral:rRNA from 1 species